rnacentral:rRNA from 1 species
CGAAGGGGGCUAGCGUUGUUCGGAAUUACUGGGCGUAAAGCGCACGCAGGCGGAUUGAUAAGUCGGGGGUGAAAUCCCGGGGCUCAACCUCGGAAUUGCCUUCGAUACUGUUAGUCUUGAGUCCGGGAGAGGGGAGUGGAAUUCCUAGUGUAGAGGUGAAAUUCGUAGAUAUUAGGAAGAACACCAGUGGCGAAGGCGGCUCACUGGCCCGGUACUGACGCUCAUGUGCGAAAGCGUGGGGAGCAAACAGGAUUGGAUACCCUGGUAGUCCACGCCGUAAACGAUGGAUGCUAGCCGUCGGGGAGCUUGCUCUUCGGUGGCGCAGCUAACGUAUUAAGCAUCCCGCCUGGGGAGUACGGUCGCAAGAUUA